rnacentral:lncRNA from 1 species
UUACCUAGUUGUAAUUGUAGAGAAUUAGUAAGACUAGUUUACUCAAUAUUUUCUAUAAAUAAGGAGGUAUCCAUCUAGUGUUAUGUAUGUUGAAGAAGUGGGAAAAAUCUCUCAAAAAAUAGAGAAAGAGCGUGCCGCAGCAACUCUUUUGUAAUUCCUCAAAUUUCAUAAGAAAAAUUUCAUAUUUAUCUUAUCUAUUUCUUUUUACACCCAACAAAUUUUGAUAUCAAACUUGCGGAAAAAUACAUUAAACAAACCCCGACUUUUGGAAGGGAUGCAUCUGGAUGAAUUCAAAAAGAAAAUGAUAAAAGAUUUUGAAAUGUACAACUUGGGACUCAUGAAAUAUUUUCUUGGGAUUCAAGUAAAGCAAAAGCCAGGAAGAAUUUUUCUUUCUCGGAAAAAGUAUAUUGAUGAUCUUUUCAAAAAAUUUAAAAUGAGUGAGUGCAAGCCUGUCUCUACUCCGAUGGCCUUAAAUGAAAAAUUGCAAGUUUAUGAUGAUGUUGAAAAAGUUGAUGCCACACUCUACAGGAAAUUGAUUUGUUCAUUGAUUUAUCUUAAUACAAGGCCAGAUAUUACAUAUUCAGUCAGCUUAUUAUCCAGAUUCAUGAAUGAACCAAGUAAACUACAUUUUGCAGCAGCAAAAAGAAUUUUGAGAUUCCUUAAAAGAACUAAGAACCAUGGCAUAGAGUUUAAAAAAGAGAAUAAUCACAAACUUGUUGGCUAUACAGAUAGUGAUUGGGCUGGAUCAGUUGAUGAUCGGAAGAGCACUUCUGGAUACAUCUUUUACCUUGGAUCAAAUGUGAUUUCCUAGAGUUCAAAAAAGCAGAAAUUUGUUGCUUUAUCAUCAGCCGAAGCAGAGUACAUCGUAGCUACAUAUUCAGCUUGCAAAGCUACUUGGCUUAGAAGAAUUUUGAAAUAUUUGAAAUUUGAGCAGAAAGGACCAACAACAAUUUAUUGCGACAAUAUGUCGACAAUUGCGAUGACAAAAAAUCGAGUCUUCCAUGCUAGGUCAAAGCAUAUUGAACUUCGACAUCACUUUAUAAGAGAUUUGGUAAAUCAAGAAGAAAUUUGUAUGGAGUUUAUAAAUACCAAUGAUCAACCGGCCGACAUGAUAACGAAGCCAAUGACGAUUGAUAAGUUUAAAAAAUUCAAGAAGCAUUUGAAGAUUACAAAUUAAGAUGGAGUGUUAAAAGUUCUAAAGUAAUUUGUAGUCUUCAUCUAGCCCAAUCCAAAUUGGAAACUUCAACAACAAAAGAAGAUUGAAAGAGUUCAAAUCCAAAUUGAACACUUCAAAUAACAAAGACUUUAUUCAUUGAAUGGUUAAAGGAUAAGAUUUUCAAUUCAAGUUGUAUACUCAACUUAUGCAAGCUAGAAAUUAAUAUAGACAGCAAUCAACUCACAUUCUUAUGUUCUGCAAUCUAAAAAUUACAUCAGGCAGCAGCCAUUUGAUACUUAUGAUGUUCAAACACAACUGCAAAUACAUAUGUUCUAGCUGUAAAGGAUGAAGAAAAAAUAGCUUUUACCUAAUUGUAAUUGCAGAGAAUUAGUAAGACUAGUUUACUCAAUGUUUUCUAUAAAUAGGGAGGUAUCUAUCUAGUGUUAUGUAUGUAGAAGAAGUGAGAAAAAUCUCUAAAAAAAAUAAAUAAAUAAAUAGAGAAGGAGUGUAUUGUAGCAACUCCUUUGUAAUUCCUCAAAUUUCAUAAGAAAAAUUUCAUAUUUAUCUUACCUAUUUCCUUCUACACUCAACAUAAUUUUCAUUCUUUCAGGGAUCAGAAAUUUAAUGACACCUAAGAAAAGCAUUCGUUCAACUGCGAAUUAUGAUAGCAAAAGAUAAAAAUAGGCUAUAAAAUGCAUGGGUAUAUCCAUAUAGAGUUUAGCAAUAUGGAGAGUCUUUCAAUCUUAUUAGCAACAUAAAACAACAAAAAACUUGGGGUCAAAUUUUCAAUCGCAAAAGAGGAUAAAACACUUGUUUACCCAAAAUUAGUAUAAUUGGAUGGACCAGAAAACAGUGAGUAAAGACAAUAUAGAAUUUUCAAUUCGAUAUAAGUAGAAAAACUAGUGAACUAUAGAAAUUGAACAGUUAAGCUAGAGGCAAUAGAUGGCACAAUUUAAAAGAUUAGAAAGGCAAAUAAUGUCAUUUGCACAUACAUUUAAAAAUAAAAAUAAAAAUGCAGUCUAGUUGUUACGAGAAAAAAAUUGAAGCAGAAGAUCAUCACUGGAAACAAAUUUUUGAAAAAAGGAAGAAAAUCUGCUUAUAGAAAAAGAUCGUAUUCAAUAUUCCCUGCCAAGUCAAAAGACGCAUAGAUUAAAAGGUUGCCUGACUGUCAAUGAGUUAAAUAAAAAAGACCAAUUAAAGAUAUACUACCAGAGAAUUAAUUGAAAUGGUUUGGGCACAUUCAACAAAUGCAGCUAGAUGUGCUUGACAGGAAAGGUGAGUGGACUAGUAUAAAUGGUAAAUCUACCAUUUCAGUAAUCUCAAGGUGGUACCUUGGUUACUAACUUGAGUUUGGAUAGUAGAAAUCUAACUUAGGUUCAUGUCCUGAUCAAAAGUUG